GAGACAGCAGCCGCCGCGGGAAUACAGAGGGUGCGAGCGUUAAUCGGAUUUACUGGGCGUAAAGCGUGCGUAGGCGGCUUUUUAAGUCGGAUGUGAAAUCCCUGAGCUUAACUUAGGAAUUGCAUUCGAUACUGGGAAGCUAGAGUAUGGGAGAGGAUGGUAGAAUUCCAGGUGUAGCGGUGAAAUGCGUAGAGAUCUGGAGGAAUACCGAUGGCGAAGGCAGCCAUCUGGCCUAAUACUGACGCUGAGGUACGAAAGCAUGGGGAGCAAACAGGAUUAGAUCCCCUGUAGUCCCUGUCUCUUAUACA
rnacentral:rRNA from 1 species